rnacentral:rRNA from 1 species
ACGAACGCUGGCGGCGCGCCUAACACAUGCAAGUCGAACGAGCGAGAGAGAGCUUGCUUUCUCGAGCGAGUGGCGAACGGGUGAGUAACGCGUGAGGAACCUGCCUCAAAGAGGGGGACAACAGUUGGAAACGACUGCUAAUACCGCAUAAGCCCACGGCUCGGCAUCGAGCAGAGGUAAAAGGAGCAAUCCGCUUUGAGAUGGCCUCGCGUCCGAUUAGCUAGUUGGUGAGGUAACGGCCCACCAAGGCGACGAUCGGUAGCCGGACUGAGAGGUUGAACGGCCACAUUGGGACUGAGCCACGGCCCAGACUCCUACGGGAGGCAGCAGUGGGGAAUAUUGCACAAUGGGGGAAACCCUGAUGCAGCGACGCCGCGUGGAGGAAGAAGGUCUUCGGAUUGUAAACUCCUGUUGUUGAGGAAGAUAAUGACGGUACUCAACAAGGAAGUGACGGCUAACUCGUGCCAGCCGCCGCGGUAA